rnacentral:rRNA from 1 species
UACGUAGGCGGAUGCGCAGGCAUCGUGUGAAAUCCCUCCGCUCAACGGAGGAACUGCACGGUGAACCGCGUGUCUUGAGAUUGGUAGGGGCUGUCGGAACGAUAGGUGGAGUGGUGAAAUGCGUUGAUAUCUAUCGGAACGCCGAAGAAGAAGUCAGGCAGCUGGGCCAUAUCUGACGCUGAGGUACGAAAGCGUGGGGAGCGAACAGGAUUAGAUACCCUGGUAGUCC